rnacentral:rRNA from 1 species
GUGGUUAAGUGAAUAAGGGCGCGUGGUGGAUGCCUUGGCACUAGGAGCCGAUGAAGGACGUGACUAACUACGAUAAGCUUUGGUGAGCGGUAAGUACGCUAUGACCCAGAGAUUUCCGAAUGGGGAAACCCAGCACAUAGAAGUGCUAUCCAUAUCUGAAUACAUAGGAUAUUGGAAGGAAUACGCUGUGAACUGAAACAUCUCAUUAGCAGCAGGAGCAGAAAGAAAAAUCGAUUCCCUGAGUAGCGGCGAGCGAAACGGGAAGAGCCCAAACCAGUGUGCUUGCAUGCUGGGGUUGUAGGACUGUCGUUGAGUUACCAAGACAGAAGUUAGGUGAAAACGUUGGGAAGCGUUGUCAAAGAGGGUGAUAACCCCGUAACCGAAAGCUUUUGUCCUCUAGACAGGAUCCUGAGUACGGCCGGACACGAGAAAUCCGGUCGGAAUCUGCGGGGACCAUCCCGUAAGGCUAAAUACUCCCUAGUGACCGAUAGUGAACCAGUACCGUGAGGGAAAGGUGAAAAGCACCCCGGAAGGGGAGUGAAAUAGUUCCUGAAACCACGACGCCUACAAGAAGUCAGAGCCCGUUAACGGGUGAUGGCGUGCCUUUUGUAGAAUGAACCGGCGAGUUACGGUAUCGUGCGAGGUUAAGGUGAAAAAACCGGAGCCGCAGCGAAAGCGAGUGUGAAUAGCGCGAAUAGUACGAUGCUGUAGACCCGAAACCAGGUGACCUACCCAUGGUCAGGAUGAAGGUGAGGUAAAACUUACUGGAGGUCCGAACCGGUGCAUGUUAAAAAAUGCUCGGAUGAACUGUGGGUAGCGGUGAAAUUCCAAACGAACUUGGAGAUAGCUGGUUCUCUCCGAAAUAGCUUUAGGGCUAGCCUCAUUAUAAGCAUACUGGAGGUAGAGCACUGUUAAGCCUAGGGGCCCAUCUCGGGUUACCAAAGUUUGAUAAACUCCGAAUGCCAGAUAUGUAUGAAUGGGAGUCAGACGAUGAGUGAUAAGAUCCACCGUCGAAAGGGGAACAGCCCAGACUGCCAGUUAAGGUCCCCAAAUAUAUGUUAAGUGGAAAACGAUGUGAUAGUGCAUAGACAACUAGGAUGUUGGCUUAGAAGCAGCCACCAUUUAAAGAGUGCGUAAUAGCUCACUAGUCGAGUGC